rnacentral:tRNA from 1 species
GCGCUCCCCUGCUAAGGGAGUAUGGGGUCAAAAGCCCCAUCGAGGGUUCGAAUCCCUCCUUGUCCGCCA